rnacentral:rRNA from 1 species
AUGCCCUAGUAACGGCGAGUGAAGCGGCAACAGCUCAAAUUUGAAAUCUGGCUUUCGGGCCCGAGUUGUAAUUUGUAGAGGAUGAUUUUGAUGCGGUGCCUUCCGAGUUCCCUGGAACGGGACGCCAUAGAGGGUGAGAGCCCCGUCUGGUUGGAUGCCAAAUCUCUGUAAAUCUCCUUCGACGAGUCGAGUAGUUUGGGAAUGCUGCUCUAAAUGGGAGGUAUAUGUCUUCUAAAGCUAAAUACCGGCCAGAGACCGAUAGCGCACAAGUAGAGUGAUCGAAAGAUGAAAAGCACUUUGAAAAGAGAGUUAAAAAGUACGUGAAAUUGUUGAAAGGGAAGCGUUUAUGACCAGACUUGGGCUUGGUUAAUCAUCUGGGGUUCUCUCCAGUGCACUUUUCCAGUCCAGGCCAGCAUCAGUUUUCGCCGGGGGAUAAAGGCUUCGGGAAUGUGGCUCCCCUCGGGGAGUGUUAUAGCCCGUUGUGUAAUACCCUGGUGGGGACUGAGGUUCGCGCUUCUGCAAGGAUGCUGGCGUAAUGGUCAUCAACGACCCGUCUUGAAACACGGACCAAGGAGUCGUCUUCGUAUGCGAGUGUUCGGGUGUCAAACCCCUACGCGUAAUGAAAGUGAACGCAGGUGAGAGCUUCGGCGCAUCAUCGACCGAUCCUGAUGUUCUCGGAUGGAUUUGAGUAAGAGCAUACGGGGCCGGACCCGAAAGAAGGUGAACUAUGCCUGUGUAGGGUGAAGCCAGAGGAAACUCUGGUGGAGGCUCGCAGCGGUUCUGACGUGCAAAUCGAUCGUCAAACAUGGGCAUGGGGGCGAAAGACUAAUCGAACCUUCUAGUAGCUGGUUUCCGCCGAAGU